CGCGUGGUAGCUCAGUGGUUAAUAUGUUGGACUUCUGAUCAGAAGGUCAUGAUCAAAUCAUAGCCCUGCCA